AUUGAACGCUGGCGGCAGGCUUAACACAUGCAAGUCGAGCGGAGACUUCGGUCUUAGCGGCGAACGGGUGAGUAAUACCUAGGAAUCUGCCUAUUAGUGGGGGAUAACGAAUCGAAAGGUUCGCUAAUACCGCAUACGUCCUACGGGAGAAAGGGGGGGAGUCUUCGGACCUCUCGCUAAUAGAUGAGCCUAGGCCGGAUUAGCUAGUUGGUAGGGUAAAGGCCUACCAAGGCGACGAUCUGUAGCUGGUCUGAGAGGAUGGCCAGCCACACUGGAACUGAGACACGGUCCAGACUCCUACGGGAGGGCAGCAGUGGGGAAUAUUGGACAAUGGGGGCGAACCCUGAUCCAGCCAUGCCGCGUGUGUGAAGAAGGCCUCGGUU
rnacentral:rRNA from 1 species